GAAUGGAAUUCUUCGGAAGGAAGCUCAAGUGACUGAGUGGCGGACGGGUGAGUAACGCGUGGGUAACCUGCCUCAUACAGGGGGAUAACAGUUAGAAAUGACUGCUAAUACCGCAUAAGCACACGUGAUCGCAUGAUCGAGUGUGAAAAACUCCGGUGGUAUGAGAUGGACCCGCGUCUGAUUAGCUAGUUGGUGGGGUAAUGGCCCACCAAGGCGACGAUCAGUAGCCGGCCUGAGAGGGUGAACGGCCACAUUGGGACUGAGACACGGCCCAAACUCCUACGGGAGGCAGCAGUGGGGAAUAUUGCACAAUGGGGGGAACCCUGAUGCAGCGACGCCGCGUGAAGGAUGAAGUAUUUCGGUAUGUAAACUUCUAUCAGCAGGGAAGAAAAUGACGGUACCUGACUAAGAAGCCCCGGCUAACUACGUGCCAGCAGCCGCGGUAAUACGUAGGGGGCAAGCGUUAUCCGGAUUUACUGGGUGUAAAGGGAGCGUAGACGGCAGUGCAAGUCUGAAGUGAAAGCCCGGGGCUCAACCCCGGGACUGCUUUGGAAACUGUGCAGCUAGAGUGUCGGAGAGGCAAGCGGAAUUCCUAGUGUAGCGGUGAAAUGCGUAGAUAUUAGGAGGAACACCAGUGGCGAAGGCGGCUUGCUGGACG
rnacentral:rRNA from 1 species